CCAGAGGCCAGACGCCACCACCAGAUCCGUCCGCCGCUGCCCGCCCCACCCGGCCACCCCCUCCGCCGUCACCACCACCGGAGGACGCAUCCCCAGGGCCGCCGCAUCCUGCUCCUGCCGGAUCCCCAGGACCACCGGAGGAAGACGCAUCCCUAGGAGCCACCGAGCGUCCGAGGCCAAGCCAGGAGUCCAAGUCUCCACUCUCCAGGACCGGCCGCGGCAUCCCCAUUCCGGCACUCCCCAGGACCACCGGAGUCCGACUGCAGCAGCGCAGCCUGCUCCCACCACGUACGAGGUUCCUAUCCUUGCAGAGUCUGAUGUCUGACCAAGGUGCUUCGAGGCCGAGCAGGAGCAGUCGUCAAGUUCCCACAAAGAGCAGUGCUGUGGUUGCAGGAGGUUCCUCAAGUGCAGCUACACCGACGAG
rnacentral:misc_RNA from 1 species